AUAUAUAUAUAUAUAUAUAUAUAUAUAUACAGAAAAUUGGUGCUUGCAUUGGUCCCUGUGGUACUCCAGAGGUAACCCUUGAGCAUGAGGAAGAUUUGUCAUUAACGUGAACAAACUGAAAUCGAUCAGAUAGAUAAGAUUUAAACCAGCAUAGUGCUGUUCCUCUAAUACCUACAAAAUAUUCAAGUCUUUCUAAAAGAAUAUUAUGUUCAACUGUAUCAAAUACAGUACUAGAUCUAACCGGACAGGUACAAAUACAAUUCCAUUAUCAGAGGCCAUGAGAUUAUCAUUAGUAACCUUCACCAGAGCUGUUUUCAAAACUUCAUUAUGGUGUAAGAUGUCGCACACUUGUUUGGCAUCUACUUUCUCAAGAAUUUUAUAUAUGAAAGGAAAAUUGGAUAUAGGUUUAUAAUUGAUCAAGUCAUCUGGGUCAAGAGACAGUUUCUUAAGUAAAGCUUUAAUUACAGCAACCUUGAAAGCCAUUGGUCCCUGUAGCAGAGAUAGAUUAAUCACAUCUAAAAUGGAGGACGAGAUCAAAGGGAAUACUUCCUUAAAUAAUCUGGUUGGAACUGGAUCCAACAUCCAAGUUGAAGGCUUAGAUUAAGACAAUAGUUUUACUAACUCUGAAAGUUCAACUGGAUCAAAGCAGUCUAAACCCUGUUCAGAUUCUAUGGCUACCUAUGAUGCUUCCGCACCUUCCAGAGAUGGUGCUGAUAUGUUGAAUUGUGUAAAUAUAGUGUUGUUAAAAGUCAAAAA